UGUCCCUCCUGGCGUUUCGUAGCUGGCGUCGCCUUGGCAACAGCAGGCAGGCGUUUGGCUAGCGCGACGAGCGAGCUAAAUGUUUCUUCGAAGACGCUCGCCGCUAAAACGUCUUUCGACGUUAAAACCGGAGCUGUGAUGGCCGCGAGUAACCCGUCGGUGUUCCUCCUCUCGGUCAACGGACAGAUUGAAGGCGCUGACUUCCCCUCCUAUGACAACUUAUACUGCAAAUACUGCUACGUUUACGGCCAAGACUGGAUUCCGACCACCGGUUUGGAGGAGGGCAUCACUCAAAUAACAUGUAAAGGCAGUCAGGCGUCCCACAAGCUGAUCUGGAACUUCCCGCUGGAUGUAACGUUCAAGAGUACGAACCCUUCAGGGUGGCCUCAGCUUGUGGUGAGCGUUUAUGGACCGGACGUGUUCGGCAACGACGUGGUCCGAGGCUACGGAGCGACACACAUCCCCAUCACACCUGGACAACACACCAGGACCAUGGCCAUGUUUGUUCCUGAGCCCACAUGGAGACUUCAGAAGUUCACCAGCUGGCUAAUGGGUCGCCGGCCCGAGUACACGGACCCUAAAGUAGUCGCCCAAGGCGAAGGGAGAGAAGUGACACGAGUUUGCUCCCAAGGAUUUGUCACCGUGUGCUUCAGCAUCAUGAUGAAGGACCUGAAGAAACUGGGCUACGACUCGGGACCUGCAAACCCCCAAUCUCACGCCGCGUCCAGCUGGUCCACAGAAGACCAAAGUAACUUCUGAUCUUCUCUGCGAACAACCUUUUAUAUUUAAACCUCGCUUUUGUGCUGCAAUGCUGCAGUGAGCCCUUCUGUUUAGGCUGAGCCUUCAACUGCAAGUAGAAGUGCCAUUCCAUCUUCUAAUUGUCCAUAGUGUGUCUACUCCUACGGAUUCUUCAUUAAUCACUCCAAGCAACGUUUAAAUUGUACCCAUCUGAGGACACAGAGGAAAAACAACACAGACUCCGUGUCAAUAGAGAGACGAGGACAGGGUGAGUACCAGCAGGGACAGAGGAGGAGGAGCGCAGGCUGUCAAACUCUGAGAAGUCCUCUUUGGACGUACCAUUGGAUUCAGUGAACAGGUCAAAGCUACCUACAGGAGGACAACAUACACAUAUAAAGCAAACACGCAUGGAUGGAAACAGACAAAACCAAUAUGGAUAUCCUUGGAGACGAAAUGAGACAUGCAUGCAAGGAGGUGAGUACAUUUCCAUGAGGGUUACCUGUGUUGGAAGCCUUGGGGCGAGUAGCGGCUGAUCCCCAGGGGUCAGACGCAGGGGUGGAAUUUGAAGCCCAGGGAUCACUGCUCUUCAUGGGUGGCACAGAGGUAGGAGCCCCCCAUGGGUCCGCUGCCCUUUUAGGAGUAGAACCUUGGGAGAAAGAAGGGCUUAAGUAGGGCUGGGCGACAAAACGAUAGUACAUAUUGCAAA